rnacentral:rRNA from 1 species
GGGGUGAGGGGAAAAUUAAAGAUAAGAAAAAUAAUAAUAAAAAAAAUUUUAAAAAGAAAUAUUUUAAUGGGGGUUAAAGUAUUUUUAAUAGAAAAAAUUUUUAUAUUUAUAGUUAAGUAGUAUUGUAAAAGAAUUUUGAAAUAAAUGAAAAUAAAUUUUUGAAAAAGUAAAUUUAGUUUGUUGUAUCUUGUGUAUCAGAGUUUAUUAAAAAUUUUUUAGGGGGUUUAAAUUUCUCGAAUUUAAAAGAGUUAAUUAAUUAAUAAAGUUAUUAUGGCAUAAAUAUUUUAAAUAAUUAAUUGGAAAUGAAAUGUUAAUCGUUUUUAAAUAUAUCUAGUUUUUUUAGAAAAAAAUUUAAUUUUUAAUUUUAUUAAAGAAAAAAUUAAAUAUUUAAUUUUUUCUUUAAUAAAAUUUAAUAAUUUAAGGGAUAAGCUUUAAAUUAAAAUUUUAUAAUUAAAAUAAAAAAUAUUUAAAAAUUUUAUAAUUUAAAUUGUUAAUAAAUUUUAUUUUAUUAUAAAUAAUUUUAAAUAAAUUAAAAUUUAAAAUUUAAUUUAAUUUUUUAUAAAAAAAUUUAUAUUAAUAGUAAAUAUAAAGAAAUUAUGAUAAAAUUAGUAAAUAAUAUAAAUUUGAAGUAAAAAUUUAAAUUAAUUAUUUUUAAGGAAUUCGGCAAAUGUAUAUAUUCACUUGUUUAUCAAAAACAUGUCUUUUUGAAAAUAAUUUAAAGUCUAAUCUGCCCACUGAUAAAUUAUUAAAGGGCUGCAGUAUUUUGACUGUACAAAGGUAGCAUAAUCAUUAGUCUCUUAAUUGGUGACUUGUAUGAAGGAUUGGAUGAGAUAUAAACUGUCUUAAAAGUAAAAUAAAUUGAAUUUAAUUUUUUAAUUAAAAAGUUAAAAUAAAUUAAAAAGACGAGAAGACCCUAUAGAGUUUUAUAUUGUAUUAAAUUUAAUUUAUUUAUAAAUUUAUUGAAUAUAAAUUUAUUAUAAUAUUUUGUUGGGGUGAUAAAAAAAUAAAAAAAACUUUUUUUAAAAUUAUUCAUAGAUAAGUGAAUUUUUGAUCCAAUUUUAUUGAUUAUAAGAAAAAAUUACCUUAGGGAUAACAGCGUAAUUUUUUUUUUUAGUUCUUAUAAGAAGAAAAGUUUGCGACCUCGAUGUUGGAUUAAGAUAAAAUUUAAAUGCAAAAGUUUAAAAUUUUGAUCUGUUCGAUCAUUAAAAUCUUACAUGAUCUGAGUUCAAACCGGUGUGAGCCAGGUUGGUUUCUAUCUUUUAUUAAUUUUGAUAUUUUAGUACGAAAGGAUCAAAUAUUGUAAUUAAAUUAAUUAUAAUGAAUUUUAUUAAUUUGAAUAAUAAAAAAAAUAUAGAAUUAAUUA